rnacentral:rRNA from 1 species
AGUGAACGCUGGCGGUAGGCCUAACACAUGCAAGUCGAACGGCAGCACAGUAAGAGCUUGCUCUUACGGGUGGCGAGUGGCGGACGGGUGAGGAAUACAUCGGAAUCUACUUUUUCGUGGGGGAUAACGUAGGGAAACUUACGCUAAUACCGCAUACGACCUACGGGUGAAAGCAGGGGAUCUUCGGACCUUGCGCGAUUGAAUAAGCUGAUGUCGGAUUAGCUAGUUGGCGGGGUAAAGGCCCACCAAGGCGACGAUCCGUAGCUGGUCUGAGAGGAUGAUCAGCCACACUGGAACUGAGACACGGUCCAGACUCCUACGGGAGGCAGCAGUGGGGAAUAUUGGACAAUGGGCGCAAGCCUGAUCCAGCCAUACCGCGUGGGUGAAGAAGGCCUUCGGGUUGUAAAGCCCUUUUGUUGGGAAAGAAAAGCAGCAGGUUAAUACCCCGCUGUUCUGACGGUACCCAAAGAAUAAGCACCGGCUAACUUCGUG